GGCUCGUUGGUCUAGGGGCAAUGAUACCUGCUUUGGGAGCGGGAGAUCCCGGGUUCAAAUCCCGGACGAGCAC